UUUCAAUGAUCAUUUGCUGAGUCCGAGUGGGAGGGCGUGACCCAAGUCCAAUUGGAAUAUGUGCGCGUAUCGGAAUAUGUCGUGAUCAGGAUAGUUUCAUUUUCGCCAGUUGUUAGGAAUGUGAACCAUUCGUUUACCUGGAAGUUUCUCGAUUCAUAAAUCAACAGCACACUUCUGUAAUCCAGAUUCUGAAACGUGGCUCUCAUUUUCUUCUGAUUGGUCAGGAAAUUAAGUUUGCUCGCUUAAAGCUCAUUGUUUCCCAGCCAGCAUUCAAUGUGCUCGACGUAUAAAUAUGCUACGGAGGAAACACGUUGUGGUUCGUUGGGGAUAGACUCAGGACUUGAUACAUUGACAGGGAGUUUAAGACUGCUGUUGAGGCACAUGCGUUUUCCUAGGAUUUCCGGCUCUUCCACAAACUUCAAAGAAUUGAGUGGCAGGUUUGGUCAAAUUUUGGUCUCUAACUAACAUAUUCUCACACGUCGCUGCUCCCCGUCUGGCUUUCAUCAUUCAGAGUAGUACAGCAACAUUCCCGUCAAGCGAAAGCAGCCAGUCUUCCCAUUUUCACAUGUCUCUCUCUUACUCGACUCUAAAGCCUUCGUUUAAAAUUUCAAGUGCGAUGUUUCAACAGAAGCUGGUGCGCUUGGGAAAAAGAGAGAUUGGAGUACACGACUUCGAUAGCCCGGAGUGCAAGAUCACACACAUCUCCGCAAGUGACCUGGGAUUCAUUACCUGAGUUCGUGUUUGGAAGUGGUGGCGUGCACAUUGAAGGCGGUCCACCUUAGCUGUACGCACACUACGAUGAUAAGCGAUUGGUUUCACAAUGCCAGCAGGCGAGAAGAUUGGCAACCUCCGCCGAGUUCGCACACCAGAUCAGAAUGCUUAUCCUUGUUGGCAAAAAUCAAUGGGAAAUAUAGAACGCCAGGAGAAUAAGCUCUGAACUGAAGAGCACGUUUGAUAAGUGUGGAGGAAAGAAUAUGUACAAUAUAACGGAACUGGUUUGUGUGAGGAUGGAUCCCUAAUGGAUGAUAAGCUAAAAAAGGAUGAAGGUACUUAUUUCUUUGAUGUGUCCCAAGUUCAUCUCAAGUUGUCUUAUCAUUUUUACAAAAAGUUGGGUGCAAUUUUGAAUUUUAUCAUUGAUAAUCUUAGUAGAGUCAAAAAAGAUUGAUAUGUAAAAUUUAGUGUACAUUCUAUUGUUAUCACUUAUUUUAUCACUAUAUUCAAAGAAUAAUAUAUUCGUAUUUAACUUGAUAAA